rnacentral:rRNA from 1 species
CCUACGGCGGGCAGCAGUGGGGAAUAUUGGACAAUGGGCGAAAGCCUGAUCCAGCCAUGCCGCGUGUGUGAAGAAGGCCUUCGGGUUGUAAAGCACUUUCAGUGGGGAAGAAAGCCUUGGGGCUAAUACCCUCGAGGAAGGACAUCACCCACAGAAGAAGCACCGGCUAACUCCGUGCCAGCAGCCGCGGUAAUACGGAGGGUGCGAGCGUUAAUCGGAAUUACUGGGCGUAAAGCGCGCGUAGGCGGUCUGAUAAGCCGGUUGGGAAAGCCCCGGGCUCAACCUGGGAACGGCAUCCGGAACUGUCAGGCUAGAGUGCAGGAGAGGAAGGUAGAAUUCCCGGUGUAGCGGUGAAAUGCGUAGAGAUCGGGAGGAAUACCAGUGGCGAAGGCGGCCUUCUGGACUGACACUGACGCUGAGGUGCGAAAGCGUGGGUAGCAAACAGGAUUAGAUACCCCGGUAGUC